rnacentral:rRNA from 1 species
UGGUCCCUACGGGGCGCAGCAGUGGGGAAUAUUGCACAAUGGGGGGAACCCUGAUGCAGCAAUGCCGCGUGGGUGAAGAAGCACUCCGGUGCGUAAAGCCCUGUCAGCAGGGAAGAAAAUGACAGUACCUGGACAAGAAGCCCCGGCUAACUACGUGCCAGCAGCCGCGGUAAUACGUAGGGGGCAAGCGUUAUCCGGAUUUACUGGGUGUAAAGGGAGCGUAGACGGCAGCGCAAGUCUGAAGUGAAAUGCCGGGGCUUAACCCCGGAACUGCUUUGGAAACUGUGAAGCUGGAGUGCAGGAGG